rnacentral:rRNA from 1 species
GGGAAUAUUGCGCAAUGGGCGAAAGACUGACGCAGCAACGCCGCGGGAGGGAUGAAGGCCUUCGGGUUGUAAACCUCUUUUAUCAGGGAAGAAGCGAAAGUGACGGUACAUGCAGAAAAAGCACCGGCUAACUACGUGCCAGCAGCGGCGGUAAUACGAAGGGAGCACGAGUUUACGGGAAUUAUUGGGCGUAAAGAGCUCGUAGGCGGUUUAUAGCGGCUGCUUGGCAACUCUGAGACUCAACCCA